rnacentral:rRNA from 1 species
CCCUUAGAUGUUCUGGGCCGCACGCGCGCUACACUGAUGCAUUCAACGAGUCUAAAACCUGCUCUGAUAGGGGUGGGUAAUCUUUUGAAUGUGCAUCGUGAUUGGGAUAGAUGAUUGCAAUUUUUCAUCUUCAACGAGGAAUGCCUAGUAAACGCAAGUCAUCAGCUUGCAUUGAUUACGUCCCUGCCCUUUGUACACACCGCCCGUCGCUCCUACCGAUUGAAUGAUCCGAUGAAUAUCAUGGAUUGAGGAUGCAAGUAGUUUAGCCUAUCUUCAUCUUCGAGAAGUGAAGUAAAUCUUAUCAUUUAGAGGAAGGAGAAGUCGUAACA